rnacentral:rRNA from 1 species
AGAGUUUGAUCAUGGCUCAGGAUGAACGCUAGCGGCAGGCUUAACACAUGCAAGUCGAGGGGUAACGAUGGUGCUUGCACCAGGCGACGACCGGCGCACGGGUGAGUAACGCGUAUGCAACCUACCUUUAACUGGGGGAUAGCCCGGGGAAACUCGGAUUAAUACCCCAUAGUUCACAUACAUUGCAUGAUGAAUGUGAUAAAGUUCCGGCGGUUAAAGAUGGGCAUGCGUGCCAUUAGAUAGUUGGUGAGGUAACGGCUCACCAAGUCGACGAUGGCUACGGGGUCUUAAAGGAUGGUCCCGCACACUGGUACUGAGACACGGACCAGACUCCUACGGGAGGCAGCAGUGAGGAAUAUUGGGCAAUGGACGCAAGUCUGACCCAGCCAUGCCGCGUGGAGGAAGACAGCCCUAUGGGUCGUAAACUCCUUUUAUACAGGAAUAAUACCCUUUACGUGUAAAGGAUUGAAUGUACUGUAUGAAUAAGCAUCGGCUAACUCCGUGCCAGCAGCCGCGGUAAUACGGAGGAUGCAGGCGUUAUCCGGAUUUAUUAGGUUUAAAGGGUGCGUAGGCGGCAUAUUAAGUCAGUGGUGAAAGUUCGCAGCUUAACUGUAAAAUUGCCAUUGAUACUGAUAAGCUUGAAUAUAGUAGAGGUAGGCGGAAUGUGUAGUGUAGCGGUGAAAUGCUUAGAUAUUACACAGAACACCGAUUGCGAAGGCAGCUUACUAUGCUAUUAUUGACGCUGAUGCACGAAAGCGUGGGUAGCGAACAGGAUUAGAUA